GAUGAACGUAGCGAAAUGCGAUAAGUAAUGUGAAUUGCAGAAUUCAGUGAAUCAUCGAAUCUUUGAACGCACAUUGCGCCCCUUGGUAUUCCGAGGGGCAUGCCUAUUCGAGCGUCAUUAUCACCCCUCAAGCCUAGCUUGGUGUUGAGGCCUGCUGUCAAGGCAGCCUCUAAAAUCAGUGGCAGUGCUGUCAGGCUCUAAGCGUAGUAAAUCUAAUCGCUAUAGACACCUGGUGGACACUCGCCAGAACCCCCCCAUUUUUUAAUGAUUGACCUCGGAUUAGGUAGGGAUACCCGCUGAACUUAAGCAUAUCAAUAAGCGGAGGA
rnacentral:misc_RNA from 1 species